UUUUACUUCGCACUGUUUCUUGAUGCCUGUUAAUUUUCUCAAAAUUGAGUUGAAUCAUCUUUAUAAACUGGGUCAAGGUUUCUUCAAGUUGAGAUGAUGAAUCCUCCUCCCAUGAAUGCUCAGUGUUGAUAUAAGGUUCUGGAUCUGAAUAAUUUCUCGCAUUUUUUUGAAGUAGAGUUUUUGCUGCAAGUUCUUUUGAAUAAGCUUCAAAAUUUGCCAAGCUAACAUAGAUUCAUCUUGCAUGUUUG
rnacentral:lncRNA from 1 species